rnacentral:rRNA from 1 species
CCUGCUAUGGUAUAACUUAGUGGCAGACGGGUGAGUAAUGUAUAGGAAUCUACCUAGUAGUACGGAAUAAUUGUUGGAAACGGCAACUAAUACCGUAUACGCCCUACGGGGGAAAAAUUUAUUGCUAUUAUAUGAGCCUAUAUUAGAUUAGCUAGUUGGUGGAGUAAUAGCCUACCAAGGCAAUGAUCUAUAGCUGAUCUGAGAGGAUGAUCAGCCACACUGGAACUGAGAUACGGUCCAGACUUCUACGGGAGGCAGCAGUGGGGAAUAUUGGACAAUGGGCGAAAGCCUGAUCCAGCCAUGUCGCAUGAGUGAAGAAGGCUUUUGGGUUGUAAAGCUCUUUUAGUGAGGAAGAUAAUGACGGUACUCACAGAAGAAGU